GACGAACGCUGGCGGCGUGCUUAACACAUGCAAGUCGAACGGAAAGGCCCUGCUUUUGUGGGGUUCGCGAGUGGCGAACGGGUGAGUAACACGUGAGUAACCUGCCCUUGACUGUGGGAUAACUUCACGAAACUGGGGCGAAUACCCGGGAUGAGCUCCUGCUGCAUGGUGGGGGUUGGAAAGUGUCGGUGGUUGGGGAUGGACUCGCUGGUUAUCAGCUGGUUGGUGGGGUAGUGGCUUACCAAGGCUUUGACGGAUAGGCCGCCUGGGAGGGUAGACAGGGUCCAUGGGACUACGGUAGGGACCAGUAUGGUACGGUCGGCAGUAGGGGGGAACCUUACACAGCGGGGGGGAGUGAGAUACGGAAGCGCUGGGAUCGGGAUGCCGGCCUAUGGGUGAUAAACCGCUGUGGAAUGAAACGAGGCCUGCGUGACGGUACUGGGUCAGAAAGCAACGGCUAACUACGUG
rnacentral:rRNA from 1 species